rnacentral:lncRNA from 1 species
UGUUUAAACAUUCAUUUGAAGCUUUUGCUUCCUCUCUCUACUCUCUCUCUAACCUCUCUCCUAAAUCCAAGUUUAAGGGUCCAAAUCUCAAAUUUAAGGCUUCUAAUCACCAAGGUACCUUCCCUAACUUGUUAUGCAACCCCUCUAGCCUUCAAAUUCGAGUUCAAAUCAUGGAAUAGGACCACAUUCAUGAGUUUACGGCCCUAGAACAGUCCUAGGCCAUGAACUCACAUAAAAUGGGUUUUGGAGCCCAAAAACCCUUCCAAUCGACCUUUGGAGCUUAUAUAUCGCUUAAUGGCUUAAUGGACCGAACUUAGAACACCUUGAACUUAAUUUUUGGAGAGUAAACAUGAGUUUACUGCCCAAGAUAAUGCUUGGGCCGUAAACUCCAUAUCAUGGAGAGUAAACACGUUUUAAAGGGGUUUUAAAGCCCUUAAACCCUUCCAAAACACCAAUAAGGCUUANGACUUUGGUGCCAUUCUUUCAUGUUUACGGCCCAAGAACAAAGUCUUGGCCAUAAACUCACUUUGAUAAGUGAUUUUGAUGUGCUUAAGGCCUUAGAUUAAAUGGGAACUAGACUUGAUAAAACUCUUAAAGCUUUAAGUGCCUUAAAACACCAUUUUGAGUUUGAAAAGGGAGUUUACGGCCUAAGCAACUCUUGGGCCGUGAACUCCCAAACUUGGGUGAUUUAUGGUUGUUUUCUUGUCCCUAACACACAUACAUAUGAGUCUAAGGCAGUUGUAUAACACAAGGNACAAGGGUCGGUUUCGGCUUUGUUUUGGGAGUUUACCGCCCAAGAACACCUUGGGGAGUAAACUCCUAGAUCUAGUGAUUUAGCCUUCUAAAUCAUGUUAUAAACACACAAUAAGCAUUCUAACACUACUAGAAAGAGUUACUCAUGUUUUGGUAUAGAAACCCGAAGAUCCGUGAGAGAGAAAUGGCUUUUCUCUAGUUGGAAAUGUGAAUAAUGAAUGAAUUUGGUUCAGAAGUCUAUUUAUAGUCCUGAGAUAUUUUUGGCAGAAAAUAUUUUUAUUCCUAAAAUGAUCUCUAAUAUAAUAGAGUGUUGGAAUAAUAGUGUUGCACAAAACCCUAGUGCACUCACUCUCCUGAUAUUUCCUGAAGUGUAAACCCUAAAUUACUCAAACUUACGCGAAAAAGUCUGAAAAUUAACUGCGACUGUUAUAACUUCUAUUGAAGUGAUAUAGUUUGUACAUAAUGGAAAUUUUGGGUUGUCACACAAAACAUCAAGGAUCUUGUGUGAGGGUGGAGUUUAUGGCCGUAAACUCCAUGUUUACAGCCGUAAACUCCAAUAAAUGGUCCCUUUGUGAGUUUUAAUCCAUUCCAAAGCCAAAAAUCCAAGUCUAGCAAUUAUUCCCGAUUGUUAUGAAGCCAUUUUGCACCCAAAAUCACCCUCCAUGAGUUCACGGCCGUGAACUCAUGUGGAUGGGGUGUUUAGGGCAGUAAACUCCUUUAGGAGUUUACUCUUGAAGAGUAAACUCCAUUCCCUAGUCAUAUAAGUCCUUAAAUGCCACCCAGGUCCUUCCAAACACUCAAAAUGGGGUGUUUCCACAACUAGAAGUGUAUGUUGUUGGCAAAUAAAUUAAUCAAGUCCUAAUUAUAUACAAAUAUGUAUCAUUUAAUAAUCCAUAGGAAACUUGUGUGUUCGCGAACCCAGAACUGACGUUUAGGAUCCAAUCUGACGCGUUUCUCAACCGGUGAGUUCAUACCCCUACCCUUUUUCAUGUGUUUUUCAAAUGGUUUUCAACGUUUUCAGGGGGAGAAUACAAGCAAAAGUACAAGAAAUCUUGUACUUAAACGUAUUUUCAUUUCAAAUGUUUUAUUUCAUGUAUGAUUUUAAUAAUGAAAAUUGUGAUAACUAAUGGUUCGAAUUGCAGGUUAAACAGUUAGACUAAACAUAGAUUUCUUUUAAAAGUGUUAUAAUUAUAUUCUCUUUGAAUAAGAAAUCAUACUAAUCAUAACUAAGAUUAAUACUAAACGAAUGCGAAUACGAUUAUAACUAAUAGAAUAGAACGAAUACGAAUAUAACUAUUAGGUUAGUACGAAUACGAAUGCGAAUACGAAUAUAACUAAUAAGAUAGAACGAAUACGAAUAUAUAACUAUUACGUUAGUACGAAUACGAAUGUGAAUACGAAUAUAACUAAUAGGAUAGAACGAAUACGAAUACGAAUCUAACCAAUAGCAUAGUACGAAUACGAAUAGAAAUAGGAAUACGAAUGUGAAUUAACGCCUUUGGAUGACACCAAGACUUCGAACAUACAGCUAGUGUACCCCUUGAGUGUCACCAGAGUUUCGAAUUAAAUACGAAAAUACGCCUCUGGACCUCUUCUGAGUUUCGAAUAUAUCCGCCUCAAAAUGUCGACAGAGCUUCGAUUAUACAACUAAUGUACUCUUUUGGAACUCAACAAAACUUCAAAAAUACUAUAAUGUACGCUUCUGUGUGAUUCCAAAUAUUCGAAAAUACAACUAAGUUAGUAGAUAAUAGUCAUUCGAAUGUAGAAUAACUAAGGGUUUAGAAUACUCAACUAAUACUAUACACCUAGUAAUUACUAGUACUUUGAAAUCAAACCUAAACCAACUCAACACAGAGGAAAAUAUGGGAUUUUCCUGGGAUAACAUAACAACCAGUAACGAACUUAGAUACAAAUAGCAACUCAACNAUAAGGAAAAUAUGGGAUUUUCCUGGAAUGACAUAACCAACCGUUUUCGAAAUUGUAACAAAGGAAACUCGAUCUUUUCAAAACUAAACCGCUUAUGAACUCACCAGCUUUAUGCUGAUUUUCAAACCGCUUGUAUUCCCAGGUCAGCGUUAGACAGGUACACCGCCACCUUUUGGAGAAGACGGAGCGUUCCGAGGACUCGUCUUUACUUUUUUUUAUAUGACAUAUGUAAAACACUUGUACAACUUUACUUUCAAACAGAUGUAAUCAAUAUUAUGUAAUGUAAUGUUUUGUGAUUACUGCUUUACUAUGUGCAUUGGAUUUGAUACUCAACGUGGAGUCAACCCUGGAAAUGUUUCCGCCUUUGGUUUUCGGGGUGUGAUAGAUUGGUAUCAGAGCCCUUGUUUAUAGUGAACUGGUAUACCAAAGCUUACAUGGUAUAAGACUAUAAACAUUAAAGGGCCUAAGUGCUCUGGACUAAAAGUAUACCCUACGAAUAUAAGUAUUUUCUAAAGUAUACAAGUAUACCGACCGUCGAAAUCCGUAACUACAAGUAGAACAAAAUAUAAGUAAAUGGGUGUUGUACGCUGCGGUUAAACCUGGGCAGUUAUGUAGUCGUGUCUAGGAUCAAUAUAGCUUGGCCAACUAUAUUCAUUCGAGACGCGGCCAACAUGUGCUUGGGAGUGACUGUGGUACGCAGCAUACGUAAAACUUACCUAAUAUCCCAAACAAUGAGUCGUCGCUGCAGCAAACCAUGAAAUACUAUGAGAGUAUUUCUCGAACCGAUCCUUCGUAGAAAUCCUCGUAUACAUGUUGUUCCUUGAUCAUUCCUCUAGCGAUAAAAUUUUCUACCUUGAUCACAUUUUUUUGCUUUAUCGCUUAAUAUAAUGUUAUAUCUGUCUCGAUGAGAUAUCCCCUGAUCCAUAUCUCUUGAUUCAAUUCAGAGGACUUAUGAUCCUCUCUUUCCUGAUCUUUUUAGAUCAAGAUGCCUCCGAGGAAAAGACCCAGCUCAAAGAACACCAACAACCCUCCGUCGCCACCACCUCCUCUUCAAAUCAAUCUAGAAACAAUUCAGGUAACCAUUUCUGCCACCAUAUCAGCUCUCCUACCUCAGCUAAACCCUAAUGGUUCAGGAGGUGGUUCCCAAAACCAAAACCAAGAAGGUAAUCAGGGACACCGGAAGGAGUGUUCCUAUAAAGACUUCAUGAACGCAAAACCGACAUUCUUCGAUGGCACAGGGGGUGUCAUUGCUCUAACUCGGUGGUUAGAGAAAAUAGAAUCUAUCUUCGAGAUUUUCGCCUGNCGAGAUUUGCGCCUGUUCGGAAUCUGAUAAGGUGAAAUUUGCCGCCUGUACGCUCACCGAUAAGGCUUUGACUUGGUGGAACGGCCGAGUCAAAUCCCUGACUUUACCUGUAGCCAAUGCUAUGGGAUGGGAAGUUAUGAAGGAACUACUACGUGCGGAGUAUUGCCCUCGGGGUGAAAUCCAGAAGCUGGAACAUGAGCUAUGGAACCUGAAGAUGAAAGGUUCCGAUAUCACCUCUUACACUUCAAGGUUUGAUGAUUUGGCACUUCUUUGUCCGGGAAUGGUUACCCCGGAAAGCAAAAAGGUAGAAAGGUUCAUAUGAGGAUUAACUCAACCAACCAAAGGGAAUGUUAUAGCAGCAAAGCCAGAUACCUAUGACAUCGCCAAGUGUCUGGCUCAAACUUUGAUCGAUCACAAUGAUGAUCAAGAGGAAGCAGGCACCACUCCCGAGCUAACAGAAAAGAGUGGCGAGAAAAGAAAGUUUUAGAGAAAGAAGAAGAAGAGUCAGCCUUCCCCAGAACCCUCGAAGAAAUAGCAAAUAGUGGCAGUCCAUGCUGCCACUAUUCUUGNCCUGCUGCUGUUUCUGUUGUCAAUUCCACAUCCCAAGUACCUGUCACCAGAUAUGCCGGUAUCCUCCCGUGGUGUGAUCGAUGUAACUACCACCAUCGCAUCCCCGGCCCUUGUCGUGCAAAGUUCUGUAGAAGUUGUGGCCAGGAAGGUCACCUUGCACGAACCUGCAAAACCCCAACCCCGUCAACUAGUCAAGCUUCCGGAGCUGGUAUCGGUCAAACCUGCUACAGCUGUGGAGAGGUUGGACACUAUACGCGAAACUAUCCAAAGACAGUAACGUCUGGCAACACCGGGAGAGUCCUAACUAUGGGGCAAGAAAGGACAGCCGCCGAUCCCACCGUUGCCACAGGUAUACUUCUUCUUGAUAAAUCUUGUACCUGUGAUCCUUUUUGAUUCUAAUGCUGAAAGAAUUUGCUAACCAUUCAUUCAAAAUAUCUUUCUAAACUAAAUCCUUUGUUAGUAAUCGAAACGUGCACCAUCGAGAUGACCAACCAGUGAGAAAGAGAAUGUUAACGUCAUACCUAUCGAUCGUAUCCUCAAUCCGGAUAAUUAUUCCUUUCCAUUCGAUCUAAUGAUAAACUUUUCAUGAAAAACUUUGAUGCAAACUCGGCAUGGAAUGCUUUAGAAAAGCGAAAUACUUCCCUCAUGGUACAUUAGACCCUUCACGACCCUUGUGAAAUCGAUUCUGUAACCUUCAAACUUCGAUUACCCUCGGAACUUAGUAAAACCCAUCUGAUACUUCACGUCUCCUUCAUUGAGAAGUAUCUACCCAACGAAUCCAAAAUGUGUCCCGAUAGUGAGGGUUCGCUGGAACGUCAAGCAGAGACCCGAUGCCACUUGGGAGCGUGAAUACCCGGAUCAGCUGAUCCACCCGCAUCUCUUUUCAUUUCAUGAGCUGUAUCAUAACCUUUGAAUUUCGGGACGAAAUUCCCUCUAACGGGGGGAUAAUGUAACAACCCGAAGUUGUCCAUCGCCGAAAUCCGUUCCGCGCGUAAAAAUCUGCCUUUAUCGAUUCGUUCUGCUUUCGUUUUUGGACUAAGAUAUAUAAACUAUAAGUUUAUUUGAAUCUCGUAAGUGUUCAAAUCCAUUUAAAACUCAUAAAAAUGGCCCAAAAUCAUUAACUUGAAAUUUCUAAAUUCUAUCCUGUCGGGUAACGACAACUAAAUCGGGUGCGACCAAAAACCCUGUUUAAUGCCGGUAUCGGGUAAAAUUCCAUCGUGUCCAAGUUUUUGGACCUAUUUAAACGUGUUUAAAGAUUCAUUCGAAGAUUUUGCUUCCUCUCUCUACUCUCUCUCUAACCUCUCUCGUAAAUCCAAGUUUAAGGGUCCAAAUCUCAAAUUUAAGGCUUCUAAUCACCAAGGUACCUUCCCUAACUUGUUAUGCAACCUCUCUAGCCUUCAAAUUCGAGUUCAAAUCAUGGAAUAGGACCACAUUCAUGAGUUUACAGCCCUAGAACAGUCCUAGGCCGUGAACUCACAUAAAAUGGGUUUUGGAGCCCAAAAACCCUUCCAAUCGACCUUUGGAGCUCAGAUAUGGCUUAAUGGCUUAAUGGACCGGACUUAGAACACCUUGAACUUAAUUUUUGGAGAGUAAACAUGAGUUUACUGCCCAAGAUAAUGCUUGGGCCGUAAACUCCAUAUCAUGGAGAGUAAACACGUAUUAAAGGGGUUUUAAAGUCCUUAAACCCUUCCAAAACACCAAUAAGGCUUAGAUACGACUUGUAGAAUUAUGGAAUUAGCCUUGGAACACAUUGAACAUCAAUUUAGAGGAGUAAACUUGAGUUUACUACCCAAGAAAAAGCUUGGGCCGUAAACUCAUUAAAAUGGGGAGGAAACUCCUCU